rnacentral:rRNA from 1 species
AUUGAACGCUAGCGGCAUGCCUAACACAUGCAAGUCGAACGAGUGGCGGACGGGUGAGUAAUGUCUGGGAAACUGCCUGGUGGAGGGGGAUAACUACUGGAAACGGUAGCUAAUACCGCAUACCAUCAGAUGUGCCCAUAUGGGAUUAGCUUGGUGGUGGGGUAACGGCGCACCAAGGCGACGAUCCCUAGCUGGUCUGAGAGGAAGACCAGCCACAAUGGAACGUAGAAACGGUCAAGACUCCUACGGGAGGCAGCAGUGGGGAAUAGUGCACAAUGGGCGCAAGCCUGAUGCAGCCAUGCCGCGUGUAUGAAGAAGGCCUUCGGGUUGUAAAGUACUUUCAGCGGGGAGGCGUUACCCGCAGAAGAAGCACCGGCUAACUCCGUGCCAGCAGCCGCGGUAAUUC